AAAAAUCAAUAAUAAUUUUAAAAAAAUUAUCGAUUGAAGAGAUUUUUUCGAGUGACAUAUCAAAUAAGCCCUGAAGGAGCGAGUUCAAUUUCCUUAGAGAUCAAAGACAUUUACAUUCCGGAUUGAUUGCAAGAUAGGGUCGAUGGAUGUCAUUGCAUAGAUUAGAACUUCAACAAUAAAAUCAUGUGCAUAAUUUAAUUUAGAGGAGAAUAAAAGAGAAGAGAGGGGAGAA
rnacentral:lncRNA from 1 species